UGGGGGCUGGAGAGAUGGCUCAAA
rnacentral:piRNA from 1 species